rnacentral:tRNA from 1 species
AAAUAUGAAGCAACAAUUAUGCAAUUAGUUUCGACCUAAUCAUAGGUAAUAAUAUUACCCUUAUUUA